rnacentral:rRNA from 2 species
CUCGCAGGCGGUUUCUUAAGUCUGAUGUGAAAGCCCCCGGCUCAACCGGGGAGGGUCAUUGGAAACUGGGAAACUUGAGUGCAGAAGAGGAGAGUGGAAUUCCACGUGUAGCGGUGAAAUGCGUAGAGAUGUGGAGGAACACCAGUGGCGAAGGCGACUCUCUGGUCUGUAACUGACGCUGAGGAGCGAAAGCGUGGGGAGCGAACAGGAUUAGAUACCCUGGUAGUCCACGCCGUAAACGAUGAGUGCUAAGUGUUAGGGGGUUUCCGCCCCUUAGUGCUGCAGCUAACGCAUUAAGCACUCCGCCUGGGGAGUACGGUCGCAAGACUGAAACUCAAAGGAAUUGACGGGGGCCCGCACAAGCGGUGGAGCAUGUGGUUUAAUUCCAAGCAACGCGAAGAACCUUACCAGGUCUUGACAUCCUCUGACAACC